UUUAAUAUGGCAGAUCAAAGUGCAAUGAAUUUAAGAUUCAUAUAUAAAUUAUUUAUUUUUAUUAAAA
rnacentral:tRNA from 1 species